rnacentral:lncRNA from 1 species
CACGUUGUUCAGGCGUGGCUGACACAUCUCUCAGGUGAGCUGGAAACGUGACACAGGCGUGCCUGACACGUCACGCAGGUGUGGUUCACACAUGGUUCAUGCAUGGCCUUCGUGUGGUUCAGGGGUGGCUGACAUGUGACUCAGGCAUGUGUGAAACAUGCCUCCGGUGUGGCUGACACAUGUCUCAGGCAUGGCUGACAUGUGACUCAGGCAUUCAUCUCACAAUAUCCAUGUGUGGCAUACACUUGCUUCACACAUGGGUGACAUGUCGUUCUCUUGUGGCUCCCACGGGACUCACACUUUGCUGACACAUGGCUCCCACAUACUCAGCCGUGUCUGGCAU